rnacentral:rRNA from 1 species
AGCGAACGUUAGCGGCGCGCCUAACACAUGCAAGUCGCACGAGAAACGGAGCAAUCCGCGGUACAGUGGCGCACGGGUGAGUAACACGUGGAUGACCUUCCCUGGAGUGGUGGAUAACCUGCCGAAAGGCGGGCUAAUACAGCAUGGGACCACGACGCUUUGGCGAUGUGGUGAAAGCGGGCCUCUAUAUAUAAGCUCGCGCUCCGGGACGGGUCCGCGUCCCAUCAGCUAGUUGGUGAGGUAACGGCUCACCAAGGCUUCGACGGGUAGCUGGUCUGAGAGGAUGGCCAGCCACACUGGAACUGAGACACGGUCCAGACUCCUACGGGAGGCAGCAGUGGGGAAUCUUGCGCAAUGGGCGAAAGCCUGACGCAGCGACGCCGCGUGGGCGAAGAAGGCCUCGGUUGUAAGACGUCUUUACCUACGGGAGUGAUAAUAGACAGUACCU